rnacentral:rRNA from 1 species
GAUGAACGCUGGCGGCGUGCCUAAUACAUGCAAGUCGAGCGAACGGACGAGAAGCUUGCUUCUCUGAUGUUAGCGGCGGACGGGUGAGUAACACGUGGAUAACCUACCUAUAAGACUGGGAUAACUUCGGGAAACCGGAGCUAAUACCGGAUAAUAUUUUGAACCGCAUGGUUCAAAAGUGAAAGAUGGUCUUGCUGUCACUUAUAGAUGGAUCCGCGCUGCAUUAGCUAGUUGGUAAGGUAACGGCUUACCAAGGCAACGAUGCAUAGCCGACCUGAGAGGGUGAUCGGCCACACUGGAACUGAGACACGGUCCAGACUCCUACGGGAGGCAGCAGUAGGGAAUCUUCCGCAAUGGGCGAAAGCCUGACGGAGCAACGCCGCGUGAGUGAUGAAGGUCUUCGGAUCGUAAAACUCUGUUAUUAGGGAAGAACAUAUGUGUAAGUAACUGUGCACAUCUUGACGGUACCUAAUCAGAAAGCCACGGCUAACUACGUGCCAGCAGCCGCGGUAAUACGUAGGUGGCAAGCGUUAUCCGGAAUUAUUGGGCGUAAAGCGCGCGUAGGCGGUUUUUUAAGUCUGAUGUGAAAGCCCACGGCUCAACCGUGGAGGGUCAUUGGAAACUGGAAAACUUGAGUGCAGAAGAGGAAAGUGGAAUUCCAUGUGUAGCGGUGAAAUGCGCAGAGAUAUGGAGGAACACCAGUGGCGAAGGCGACUUUCUGGUCUGUAACUGACGCUGAUGUGCGAAAGCGUGGGGAUCAAACAGGAUUAGAUACCCUGGUAGUCCACGCCGUAAACGAUGAGUGCUAAGUGUUAGGGGGUUUCCGCCCCUUAGUGCUGCAGCUAACGCAUUAAGCACUCCGCCUGGGGAGUACGACCGCAAGGUUGAAACUCAAAGGAAUUGACGGGGACCCGCACAAGCGGUGGAGCAUGUGGUUUAAUUCGAAGCAACGCGAAGAACCUUACCAAAUCUUGACAUCCUUUGACAACUCUAGAGAUAGAGCUUUCCCCUUCGGGGGACAAAGUGACAGGUGGUGCAUGGUUGUCGUCAGCUCGUGUCGUGAGAUGUUGGGUUAAGUCCCGCAACGAGCGCAACCCUUAAGCUUAGUUGCCAUCAUUAAGUUGGGCACUCUAAGUUGACUGCCGGUGACAAACCGGAGGAAGGUGGGGAUGACGUCAAAUCAUCAUGCCCCUUAUGAUUUGGGCUACACACGUGCUACAAUGGACAAUACAAAGGGCAGCGAAACCGCGAGGUCAAGCAAAUCCCAUAAAGUUGUUCUCAGUUCGGAUUGUAGUCUGCAACUCGACUACAUGAAGCUGGAAUCGCUAGUAAUCGUAGAUCAGCAUGCUACGGUGAAUACGUUCCCGGGUCU